GGCUGGAUCUCUCGGGGUUACAGCCUUGCUGAAUUAUUCACCCUUGUCUUUUGCGUACUUCUUGUUUCCUUGGUGGGUUCGCCCACCACUAGGACAAACAUAAACCUUUUGUAAUUGCAAUCAGCGUCAGUAACAAAUUAAUAAUUACAACUUUCAACAACGGAUCUCUUGGUUCUGGCAUCGAUGAAGAACGCAGCGAAAUGCGAUAAGUAGUGUGAAUUGCAGAAUUCAGUGAAUCAUCGAAUCUUUGAACGCACAUUGCGCCCUUUGGUAUUCCAAAGGGCAUGCCUGUUCGAGCGUCAUUUGUACCCUCAAGCUUUGCUUGGUGUUGGGCGUCUUGUCUCUAGCUUUGCUGGAGACUCGCCUUAAAGUAAUUGGCAGCCGGCCUACUGGUUUCGGAGCGCAGCACAAGUCGCACUCUCUAUCAGCAAAGGUCUAGCAUCCAUUAAGCCUUUUUUCAACUUUUGACCUCGGAUCAGGUAGGGAUACCCGCUGAACUUAAGCAUUAAAAAGGGGAGAAAGAGAAUGGAACCAAUUGGGAAAUGGCGCGCUGGAAUACUUAAAGGGCUACCGCCCUGCUAAAAUAUUCAGGCUUGUCUGUGCGUACGUCUAGUUUCCGUGGUAGGUUCGCCCACCACUAAACGAACAUAAACGUCUGUAAUUGCAAUCAGCGUCGUACA
rnacentral:rRNA from 1 species